rnacentral:rRNA from 1 species
GAUGAACGCUGGCGGCGUGCUUAACACAUGCAAGUCGAACGGAGUUACAUGAAACCUAGUGAUUGUAACUUAGUGGCGGACGGGUGAGUAACGCGUGGGUAACCUGGCGUAUACAGGGGGAUAACACUUAGAAAUAGGUGCUAAUACCGCAUAAGCGCACGAAUUCGCAUGAAUUUGUGUGAAAACUAAGGUGGUAUACGAUGGACCCGCGUCUGAUUAGCUAGUUGGUGAGGUAACGGCCCACCAAGGCGACGAUCAGUAGCCGGCCUGAGAGGGUGAACGGCCACAUUGGGACGUGAGACACGGCCCAAA